rnacentral:rRNA from 1 species
AGGACGAACGCUGGCGGCGUGCUUAACACAUGCAAGUCGAACGGAAAGGCCCUUCGGGGUACUCGAGUGGCGAACGGGUGAGUAACACGUGGGUGAUCUGCCCUGCACUUUGGGAUAAGCCUGGGAAACUGGGUCUAAUACCGAAUAUGACCUCAGGAUGCAUGUCUUGUGGUGGAAAGCUUUUGCGGUGUGGGAUGGGCCCGCGGCCUAUCAGCUUGUUGGUGGGGUGAUGGCCUACCAAGGCGACGACGGGUA